AUAUUGCACAAUGGGCGCAAGCCUGAUGCAGCCAUGCCGCGUGUAUGAAGAAGGCCUUCGGGUUGUAAAGUACUUUCAGCGGGGAGGAAGGGAGUGAGGUUAAUAACCUCAUUCAUUGACGUUACCCGCAGAAGAAGCACCGGCUAACUCCGUGCCAGCAGCCGCGGUAAUACGGAGGGUGCAAGCGUUAAUCGGAAUUACUGGGCGUAAAGCGCACGCAGGCGGUCUGUCAAGUCGGAUGUGAAAUCCCCGGGCUCAACCUGGGAACUGCAUUCGAAACUGGCAGGCUGGAGUCUUGUAGAGGGGGGUAGAAUUCCAGGUGUAGCGGUGAAAUGCGUAGAGAUCUGGAGGAAGACCGGUGGCGAAGGCGGCCCCCUGGACAAAGACUGACGCUCAGGUGCGAAAGCGUGGGGAGCAAACAG
rnacentral:rRNA from 1 species